UGUUGCCUCACCAUGUGCCACGCUGGGAGCCGUCCUCCCGGGUUCCUGCUCAUCUCCUGCAGCACUGUCAGGACAUCUUGAGGCCGUAUCUUGGCGGGAUCCAGUGUGUACGCCAGGAACCUGAGGUAGUGGACAAUAUUCUUGAGGGUUACGUUUAUAGGCAUGGGACUGGAUCCAGGAGAAAUAGAAAUGGUACUGGGUGGAAUGACUCUCUCUGUACUGAGUUCUCAAGCCUUUUCCCAGAAUUGCAGGGCUGUAGUAGCAGAGGCACAGAUGAUAGAGGCUCAAUUCAAGGGCUAGUGAACCGUUGAUGGUGCCAGCCCUAAGGAGGGAGAAACCAGCCUCAGCAUGGAAGACCAGCAACACAACCUCAAGACACCUACCUGCUUUCCAGCAAGAUUGUAAGAGAUUAUUGAGUUCAAAGAUGAAACAUUCUAAAAUUGGGAAACUAAACUUGAGAAAAGUAUAAAAUAUGCAAGAAAUGAGAAGGUAGACUUUAUAGUGCUUAAGUUUAAUGCUGAAUUAAGAAGAAAUUAAUAUAUUCUGAGGUGGGUGUGUAAUAAAGAAGUCUUGAGUAAACCUGAAAGGUACAAUAUGCUAUGUGCAGAAAAUGUCAAGAAACCUGGAAUUAGAAUCAGCUAACAUGACUGAAAUUUAAAUCAUUCAGUGCAAAACUAAUCAUGCAUGUUAAGUGGAGUAAAAAUAUAAAAAUAUAUAAUUUAUAUGAUUGGUCAAAGAUUAAAUAUUCACACAUUUUUCAAUGCUCACACAUUUUUCAAUGCUUCAAAUGACUUUAAUGUAAUCAAUACGCCUUAACCAACUAUAAUUCCCUGGAAGAUUUAAGGGGUUUAGAUUAUUCAUAGAUUAUUCAACUGAUUUCAAGUAUUUUCAUAUAGUUGCCAUUACAGUAAGAGAGGACAACAGCUAAAAGCUGAUAACACGGAGGACCAGAAAUAGGCAGCCACCUACAACACUAUUAGAAUCUGUGACAUAUAUAUGCUUGCUUGCACGCACGCAUGGACACACACACAUAUGUAUGCAAACACACACACACACACACACACACACACACACACACAUGCGUGUGCACCCGCAAAUGCACAUGCACACACCUUCAACUUUCCACUCCACACAACUGCCGUCACCAACACUAUAACAUAAACUGCAACCACAACCUCACACUUGCAACCAUCACAACCAUAAACUUGUCAAUUACUAGUGUAACAACACACACACACGCUGUGUGAGUGGUCUCAGCCCUACCCAAAGAUCGGUACUAUGAGCUCUGUGCUCUUCCAUAGGGGAACGGCUGGCUGUCUCGAGAGAGACCCGCAGCAGACCAAGAGGUGAAUUACACACACACUACUUAAUACAUAAAACACCGUUCACCUCCAAAACUACCAUGUGACAUUAUAAUAACUAAACAUUCUUUUAUCUUACUAUAAAAACAAAACACAUACCUGUCAUCAACAGGACAACAAUAAAUCCUAGAAGCAAAUAGCCAAAACGACAUAAGAAAUCUGACAUAUGACACUAUCAUGAUAUAUCAAAGUCCAUAUAAUCUAUUCACAAUAGAUGGGAUCAAUCAUCUAAAAGAUUAAUGAACAACUAAAGGACUUUCAGCAUGUCACCUGCCAAGGUGUGCUGUGGAUGUAAGGUGACUAACUGCCGUAUUUUUUUGUGCACAAGACACUUUUUCCCCCAAAAUUGGAGGUCACUCGCACAUGCUCUUGGUUAUAAAUGUUUAUAAACUACUUACCUUAGCUCACCUCUUAUACAAGAUAGACAAUUUC